UGCUCGAGGACGUUCUUUUCCUACCUCUGCAUUUGAUUUAUAGAAAUGCAUGCUGCACCAUCCAGGUGCAUCCAAGGGAGAAUCAGAAGUGAAGGAACUGUCACAGACUCAGUCUUGCACAAACCAUUGCAAUCUCUAUUCUGCACUGUCCUUCAGUUUCCUGAGGAAGCAAAAAUUCCUCAGGAUUGAAGAGCAUGACCAUGCAUAGCAAACAGCGAGCCAGGGGACGUGUCAGCACUUCUGGUUGAGGACACAACUCUGACACCCCAAGGCCUUGUGGACAGCCUCACACCUUAAAGUCAGAGAGGGUGAUGUUGAGACCAAGAUGAAACCAUGCAGAAGAUCCAUCAGGUACCUGAUCACUGUAUUUUGCACUUCAGGCAAUUCCA
rnacentral:lncRNA from 1 species